UCGAAAGACGGAUUGAUUACAACAAAAAAACUGUGGCGCAAAGACUACCAAUUUAAUCUUUUCAUGAUCAGAUGGAUACAGCCAAAUGUGCCUUUAGAAUUUUGUUUAGCACCAUGUUUAAUCCGCACGCCAAAACCUUACGGCUGUGAAGUUCUGAUACACGGUGCGUGAAUCAAUCAAGAAGAGAAAAAGAGAGGCAUAGAGAAACUUGCACGGUUAAGAUAUCCAGAUGAACUACACAGUGAUAAAGUUUCACUUUUUAUGUCUUUGAAGAAGCAUUAUAGAUUGAUAGAGAAUCAUCAGAGCUUAACCUGAAACGAACCAUCUUUCUCCGGACAGAGAAUGGCGGCGGCUGUCUGAAGUUAUUUUGAGAAAGUGAAGAUUUUUAGGGUUCUGAGAAGUUUCCAUCACUUGAAGUCUUUUAAAUUUUAAUAGUAUAUGAUAAUGGAAUUGCCUCGAUUCUAAUGCAAUUGACGACAAUGC
rnacentral:lncRNA from 1 species